rnacentral:rRNA from 1 species
CGUGAUUUGGGCUAUAUUACGGACCCAAAAUUACUUUUUCAAGCAUUGUUUUCGAAUAUUUUUCAUGCAUCAAAGCUCGUUAAGACUAGAUGGGGUAUCCCUACAUGGCGGGUGGGACCCACGGCGAACGGUUCAUCAAGACUUAAAAAAAGAAUAUAUACGAUUGCAUUGCAUAUACUAACGGAUGCGAUCAUACCAGCACUAAUGCACCGGAUCCCAUAAGAACUCCGCAGUUAAGCGUGCUUGGGCGAGAGUAGUACUAGGAUGGGUGACCUCCCGGGAAGUCCUCGUGUUGCAUCCCUCUUUUUUUUUUUUUUUUUUUUGGUUAAAACUUUAUGACUCUAUAACUUCUAUACCGUGAGGCCAAACUUGGCAUGUGAUACCUUUUCGGAAAGCCCAAAGAGAGCCUCCGACGAAAGAAGCAAGACAAUGGAAUUUUUCCAUUGACUUUUUGUGGACUCCAAAUUUUGACCUUUAACUACUUUUUCGGGAA